UGCUGCCCGCCUCACCAGACACACCCCACUGGACUCAACCCCUCAGAUAUAAAUUGACUGUAAUCGUCGCAGGAUGCAGAGCUGCUGUCGACAGAAAAAUGGAUCUGACUGGUUUCACUGAAGGCCGAGCGUCUUUGUUUCACAGCUGAAGUAGUUGCGCCCCUGUCUGGAAGUAGCAGCUGAUCGAUUAUGGAUAUCUUGGGUGAUCGACAAUGAAGCUGAGGACCGCUUCAAGCUGCCUGGGGAUCUGCCCGACCCAUCAAAGCCUGAUGAAUCCCUGCAGCACAGGGGUCACGUCUCCAGCUAUGCUGAUCCUCCCAUCGUCUCUCACUUCCAGUUCCAGUUCUCCUCCACGA